rnacentral:rRNA from 1 species
CGCGUAACACGUAAGCAACCUGCCCAAGACCGGGACAACGUUCCGAAAGGAGCGCUAAUACCGGAUGUGUCCAUCGGGUGACAUCGCCUGAUGAGUAAACCGAGCAAUCGGCUUUGGGAGGGGCUUGCGGCCUAUCAGCUAGAUGGUGGGGUAACGGCCUACCAUGGCGACGACGGGUAGCUGGUCUGAAAGGAUGGUCAGCCGGAUUGGGACUGAGAUACGGCCCAG